UACAUAGGCUCCAAGCGUUGUUCGGAAUUACUAGGCGUAAAGCGAGUGUAGGCGGAUGCUUAAGUCCGAUGUGAAAUCUCCAGGCUUAACUUGGAGCGGUCAUCGGAAACUGAGCACCUCGAGUGGGGUAGGGGGCAGCGGAAUUCCCGGUGUAGCGGUAAAAUGCGUAGAUAUCGGGAGGAACACCUAUGGCGAAAGCAGCUGCCUGGGCCUUUACUGACGCUAAGACUCGAAAGCUGGGGGAGCAAACAGG
rnacentral:rRNA from 1 species